rnacentral:rRNA from 1 species
CCUACGGGGGGCAGCAGUGGGGAAUAUUGCGCAAUGGGCGAAAGCCUGACGCAGCGACGCCGCGUGAGGGAUGAAGGUCUUCGGAUCGUAAACCUCUGUCAGCAGGGAAGAACGGUCACUGUGCUAAUCAGCAGUGAAUUGACGGUACCUGCAAAGGAAGCACCGGCUAACUCCGUGCCAGCAGCCGCGGUAAUACGGAGGGUGCGAGCGUUAAUCGGAAUUACUGGGCGUAAAGCGCUCGUAGGCGGAAUGCCAAGUCAAGGGGGAAAUCCCCGCGCUAAACGUGGGAACUGCCUUUGAAACUGGCAAACUGGAGUGUGUGAGAGGAUAGUGGAAUUCCAGGUGUAGGAGUGAAAUCCGUAGAUAUCUGGAGGAACAUCAGUGGCGAAGGCGACUAUCUGGCACAUAACUGACGCUGAGGAGCGAAAGCGUGGGUAGCAAACAGGAUUAGAUACCCUUGUAGUC